ensembl:lncRNA
UCCGGAUUGACAUGGGAUGGAAUCUGGAUUAACACGGGAUUGACACAGGAUUGACAUGCUGUGGAAUCCGGAUUGACAUGGGAUUGAAUCUGGAUUAACAUGGGAUUGACAUGGGAUUGAGGGGGGGUGGAAUCUGGAUUGACACGGGAUUGACAUGGGAAUUAAUCUGGAUUAACACGGGAUUGACCGGAGAUUGACACGGGAUUGACACGGGGUGGAAUUGGGAUUAACAUGGGAUUGACACUGGAUUGAAUCUGGAUUAACAGGGGAUUGAUAUGGGAUUGGCACAGGAUUGAAUCUGGAUUAACAGGGGAUUGACACUGGAUUGACAUGGGAUUGACAUGGGACUGACACGGGAUUCAAUCUGAAUUAACACGGGACUGACACAGGGUGGAAUUGGGAUUAACAUGGGAUUGACACGGGGUAGAAACAGGAUCGACGUGGGACUGAAUCUGGAUUAACACAGGAUUGACACGGGGUGGAAUCUGGAUUAACAUGGGAUUGACACAGGGUGGAAUCUGGAUUGACAUGCGAUGGAAUCUGAAUUAACAUGGGAUUGACCCAGGGUAGAAUCUGGAUUAACAUGGGAUUAACAAGGGAUUGACAUGGGGUGGAAUCUGGAUUAACACGGGAUUGGCACGGGAUUGACACGGGAUUGACAGGGUGUGGAAUCUGGAUUGAUACGGGAUUGACACGGGAUUGAAUCUGGAUUAACACGGGAUUGGCACGGGAUUGACACGGGACAGAAACUGGGGACAAAGUGCGCUUUACAUGGGAUUAACACGGAUUAACACAGGCAAAACUGUUUAAACAUGGGAUUUACAUGGGAACAACACGGGAUUUACACGGAUUAACACGGGUAGGGUUGGAAAAAACUGGGAUUAAGACGGGAUUAACACGGGAAUGACAGGGGAUUAACACGGGAUUAACACGGGAUUGACACGGGACCAACACGGCACCAGGGGAGGUCCCAACAUGUAACGAACAUGCUACAAACAUGCGAUCGCCACGGGACGGGGGAGGGCGGGGGAUUAACACGGGUUAACACGCCAACGACACGCGACAGUCCCAGGGCCAACGCGGGAUUAACACGGGGUCAGGGCAGGCAGGCGGCAACGAACACGGGACUGACACGCAACCCACACGCGGCCGACAUGCGAUCGGCACGGGAUUACCACGGGAUUAACCGGGGCCAGGGGCAGGCCCGGCGGCGACUCGGCACGGGCCGACACGCUAACGACAUGUGUCCGUCCUCCCAGCAUGCAGUGGCAGCGGGGCCGUGUCCUUAGCGUGUCGCGGGGCCCUGAGCGUGUUGUCCGUGUCCUUAGCGUGUUGCCGUCCCGCAGCGGGUUGCCCUUACCAUGUGCUCGUCCUUAGCGUGUUCUCCCUGGCGUGUCGUAAUCCCACGUGGGUUCUCCUUAGCGUGUCAUAAUCCUUAGUGUGUCCUUAGCGUGUUGUAAUCCCACACACAGCAGCCUUAGCGCGUUCUCCUCGGCAUGUCGUAAUCCCACGCGGGUUCUCCUUGGCGUGGCGCAAUCCUUAGCAUGUCCUUAGCGUGUUGUAAUCCCACAUGCGACAGCCUUAGUGUGUUCUCCUUGGCGUGUCGUAAUCCCACGCGGGUUCUCCUUGGCGUGGCGCAAUCCUUAGCGUGUCCUUAGCGUGUUGUAAUCCCACACGCGACAGCCUUAGCGUGUUCUCCUCGGCGUGUUGUAAUCCCACGCGUGCUGUAAUCCGCAGCAUGUUGUCCUUAGCGUGUUGUAAUCCUUAGCAUGUCCUUAGUGUGUUGUAAUCCUUAGCACGUUCUCCUUAGCGUGUCGUAAUCCCACACGUGUUGUAAUCCACAUCACAUCGUCCUUAGCAUGUCCUUAGCGUGUUGGCGUUGCCUUUGGCAUGUCAGCGCCCUUAGCGUGUUCUUACGCGUGUUGUUGCCACCCGUGGCGUGUCCUGCCCGUGUCACCACCCCCCUUAGCAUGUCCUACCCAUGUUCUGGUCACCCUCGGCGUGUCCCACACGUGUUGUCACCCUUAGCGUGUCCUACCCAUGUCGUAACCGUUUGCGUGUCCUACACGUUGCCCCCCCCUUCCCAUGUCAUGGUCACCCUUAGCGUGUCCUACCCAUGUCGCCACCCCCCUUAGCGUGUCCUCCCCAUGUCGCCACGUGUCUCCAGCCCCUUAGCGUGUCCUACCCGUGUCACCACC